GAGCUCCAGCUACUUCGAAGUCUUAUCGAGCUCUCAAACCUUCAGAACCACAAGAAGUGAGUGAAUAUGAUAGUAAUGAGGAUAAUGAGGAAAACGACGGUAAUACUUUAGGCGAUGAGCAAGAUCGCAUU
rnacentral:ribozyme from 1 species